rnacentral:rRNA from 1 species
AUUGAACGCUGGCGGCAGGCCUAACACAUGCAAGUCGAGCGGAUGAAGAGAGCUUGCUCUCUGAUUCAGCGGCGGACGGGUGAGUAAUGCCUAGGAAUCUGCCUGAUAGUGGGGGACAACGUUUCGAAAGGAACGCUAAUACCGCAUACGUCCUACGGGAGAAAGCAGGGGACCUUCGGGCCUUGCGCUAUCAGAUGAGCCUAGGUCGGAUUAGCUAGUUGGUGAGGUAAUGGCUCACCAAGGCGACGAUCCGUAACUGGUCUGAGAGGAUGAUCAGUCACACUGGAACUGAGACACGGUCCAGACUCCUACGGGAGGCAGCAGUGGGGAAUAUUGGACAAUGGGCGAAAGCCUGAUCCAGCCAUGCCGCGUGUGUGAAGAAGGUCUUCGGAUUGUAAAGCACUUUAAGUUGGGAGGAAGGGCAUUAACCUAAUACGUUAGUGUUUUGACGUUACCGACAGAAUAAGCACCGGCUAACUUCGUGCC